rnacentral:rRNA from 1 species
GAUCCCAUCAGAACUCCGAAGUUAAGCGUGGUUGGGCGAGGGUAGUACUGGGAUGGGUGACCUCCUGGGAAGUCCUCGUGUUGCACCC